CAGGAGCACUUAACCACUGAGCCACGUCCCCAGCUCUCUUUUGUGUUUUUAUUUAGACCCAGGGUCUCGCUAAAUUGCUCAGGGCCUCGCUAAAUUGCUGAGGCUGGUUUUGAACUUGCAAAAUACUCCUGCCUCAGCCUCCCGAGCCACUGGGAUUGUGAGUAUGCCCCACCAUGCCUGGACUGAACUGUUAUCUUUUAGAUGUGGCAACCAGGUCACAGAGCUGGUGAAUGCUGUUGGGAUCUAACAUCUUAGUUUUUAAAUGCUGCUUUUCCUCACUAAUGGAAGAAUUUGAGGAUUGCUAAAAAAUCAGCUUCGAUGCUUCUCAAUGUGACUUCUACCACUGACAACUUUAAAUUGCAAUUUCAAUAUCACUGUUAUUUCCUUAGCAACCCUUCCCAAAACAUCUGAUAUACACUUGCCUCCAUUUUUUUUCUGAAAGAACUGUAUGUUUUUGACCUUAGAAGAAUAUAUAUAUAUAAGUACUCUUAAGCAGAAAACAAGGAUUUUACAUGUUUUGAAAAUCUCAUUGUUUUGGACUCCCAAAACGUCACUAUCAAUUCAAAUGAUGACAGAAGAUCAUAGACCAUGAUGAAUACAGGUGGUAAACAUGGUCACUAGAGUUAAGAGAGAAGAUGUGUGCAACAUCACAAGACUUUCCUGACCCCCACUUUGUGAUAUUAAUAAAAUAUCAGAGAUGCAGGAGACCUCUGCACACUGUUUUCUGUUAUUAAGAGUCAGAAUCUAAUGUUUCCUUUCACGUGUGGAAGCUAAAGCAAAAUAAGGAAAAGAAGGUGAUUGCAGAGGGGAUCAGAUGUUAUAAAUACCUAGGGAAGAUCAGCGGAGCAGAAGUAGACAAAUGAGAGGGAGGCAGGGAGGAAGGAAGGGAAAAGGAAAAAAAUAUGUAAUGAGCCUCACAAAAUCAUGUUAUAUACAUGAAUAGAUGUACCACAGGGAGUAUCUCCUUUGUGUACAUGUAGAAAGUACCAAUCCAAAAUAAAUAAAUAAAGGAGUGAAAGGAAGAACAGUAGAGGAGAGAAAAAGGGGAUGGAAGAGAGAAGGAAGGAGAGGCUGAAUGGGGAUUGACAUGAAAUUCCUUAUAUGUACAAUGAUGUCAAAAAGAAGAUGGGGGGUGGGGGGAGAGAGUGGGAGAGAGAGAGAGAAUUUCCAUGAGAAGACCAGUCUGUUAGUAAUUGUGCAGCUCAGUAACAUGAUCAUUUGGGGCAAUGCUGGGUUGAAAUGGGCUCUGUCUCAAUCAUGCCCAGAUUUUGAGUUUGAAAAAAAAAUAGGGGGUUGGUGCUAUUUACGGUAUUGACUGGAAUAAACUAACUAAUCAAAAGCAGCUAGACUCCUCCCCCAUUUUUAAAUGAUUCAGCACUUAAGGAAUGAUUCCCACUGGACCAGCUAUUUCCCAUCCACUUUCCCCGUUUUUGACUAAACUUUAUGGCUACAUAUGUCUCUGUGGAGUACACUGGACCUAGAAUAAAAGGUUCUCCCUAAAGAUGAGAAGUAGAAAUGCAGAGUGGCAGAAUCAAGAUGCCACUUGCCUUUCCAGGAAGAAAUGCUUUCUCUUGCUCCAAGACCAACUCUAUCAAUGAGAGUUUGACCUCACCAUUGGUAAAACCUCUCCUUUAGGAACCUAAUUGACUUUGAUGAAUUAUCUUCUUGCAUCUGAGUAAAUUGGGUCCAUUACUAGAAAAUGAAUGCUUCCUGUUUUCUCAAUCAUUUUCUUGUUGGAAAGCAGUUCAGCAAUUAUUUCUAAGUUCAUUUUUCUGGGCCAUAAUGGCUUGGAUCAGGUCGUGUAGAAACUCUCAAUGUUUUUCUAAAAUCUAUUGACUUGCACAGCUUUAAAAGCUUUAUCACAUCAAAAGCUUCUUAACAAUGAUAAUGUGCAUGCCAUAACUUGCAAAAGUAAAGUAAAGCACAGCAUUUUGCCAACCAACUGUGACUUCUGUGUAGCUCUAUAUCGAUUAGGCAAAAUAUUAUGCAACUAGAGAUUCUCAAUAUGGGGCACAUACAAGACAAUAGGGCAACACAAUCUCUGUAUGUCUAUUUGUUUCUUUUUCAAGUUGCUGGAGGCUAUUUGGGUAUCAAGAAACUACUAGGUAAGUCUUGUGACUCAAAUGAUCACAAAAGUAUCCUCCUCUGCUCACAGAAGAGGAAUUAAUUGUUAUAAAAAAAUUCAGGAUCUUAGACUACUUCAAUAUCUUACAGAAUAUAUAUAUAUGCAUAAGAUUAGUGAAACAAUUACUAUUAUUAUUAUUAUAACAUGUUUCUUCCUCCAUUUGGUAUUUGGACCUUUAAGAGAUAAUAAUCAAUAUUCAACACCUUACUGAUUGGGGAAGGGGUUGACUACAAGGAAAUAGAAAUGAUGUCAGAAUUGUAUGGUAUAGAAUAUCAGAUUUUUGGUACCCUAAAUGUCUUUAUAGAAACUUCCCAGUAUUCUUUUCUGAUUUUUUUGUGCCCAAGCCCAUCCCUUCCCAUUCUACUCUCUUCUGUCUUCCCUAGGAUUCCUGUCAAUGCUAAGGGGGUCCUAGAGACAAGUCUGGUAUCCUGGAGUGAACUCAAUUUCAUCAUAAAUGACAAGCAGAAACAACUUGUAGACUGCAGCAUGCUCACCUUCUCCAUGAUCCUGUCGAUCUGGCGAUUCUGCGUAUCGAUCUCAUUGCCCAUGUCCAGGGCCAUGUGACGGAGGUUUCCAAUGAUGCCGCUCACCUGCUCCAGGUUUUCAUCCAUUUCAUUUUCACGGGCAUCAUUUGUUACCCUAGGAGCCACAGAGCAAGUUUUAGAAGAUCGAGGGUGGGAAAAACCUUGAAUAUUAGACUCAACGCUUAGGGAAAGUCUGGACCUCGAAAGCUUCCAUGUUCUCUAUCUUAAACCUCUAUCCAAUACAAGUACACGGUUAGCCUUUGUACAUUCAACAAUAAUUUUUAAAAUUGUGUUUAGAGCUGGGGAUAUAGCUCAGUGGUAGAGUCUUUUGCUAGCAUGAGUGAGGUUCUGGCUUCAAUCCCCAGAAUUGCUAAAAAACAAAACAAAAAACCCAAACAUACAAAAAUUGCAUGUUGAACCCUUGAAUUUUUAAAGAAAGUAUACUAAAUAGAUUUAUCUACUUUUCUGACUUACACCAGCAUAUCAUCUCUCCUUUCAUAUAUAUGAUUUCUAUACAUUUUAUUCUUUAAGAUAAAAUCAUUUUAGAUAGAGAGACUCUAGUUCAGAGAAGGAAAGUGGAGCUAAAUAGAAACUGUGCUUUCUUUUUGAACCCAAAUCUCCAGGAUUCAAAUUGAGAACAAAAGAAAAUGCUUAUUAUGCUGAGUUAGUGAGUAUCUCACCUCUUUUCCCACUUGGAAUCAAUUAUCAGUGGGAAGAGUAAGGAUAAUUACAGUCUGCCCUUUAAUCCUGCAAUGGGAACUCUUUAUUGAAGAUGAUUUUUAUUUGCUCAAAUUUUAAUGCAAAGGGUUUUUAUUAUGGGUAUUGUGAAUGGGUGAUUUCAGAGCAGAAAGCUGUGAUAAAAUAUGGUUUGGGUUUGAAUGGGGUAGAUGUGGAGAGGAAAGAGUUGGCUUACAAAGCACCUUACCAUUUUUUCCACAUUCCAAUGUGAAGGCAAAGAAAAUACUUUAUUUCAAAUAACAAGUGUUUAUUGCAUACAGUAAGCACUACUCUAGAUUUUCCCAAAGGAAUAAAAAAUGUUCAGAGAAAUUAAAAUCCCUCCCCCUUGGGUAACAUCCAAUGUAGUCUGACCCAUUAUGAUUUUUCAAGUAGUCCAGGCCAGAGAAAAUUCAAAUAUUAAGGGAGAAAUUCCUAGAUAUUUUUCUUAUAGGGAAAAAGCUUAAUUUAAUAAAUGACCACCAAUAAGUACUACACAUCCUAGUUCAAUGGUUGUCAACUCUUGUUGAAUAUUAGAAUCACCUGAGGAGCUUUAAAACCACAGAUGCUUGUGUUGUUUGUCAAGAUUCUGAAUCAACAGGUGUGGGCUGGACAUAGACAUUCCUUUAUUUUUUAAAACUCUCCCCAGUUGAGUCUACUAUGUAGCCAUUGCAUUGAGAACCCAUUGGUCUGGUUUCCCUAGGAGAAGAUAGAGGUAGAAAGAGAAUUCUCAUCUGUGAACCUACAGGUGCAUUAUCAAGACCUUAUAUGUCAGUGACAGUGACCCAUCAUUUCAAUCACAGGGGUACUAUGUGACCAACAACAGUUAUGAUGGCCUGGGAAUAGGUAGUUGUGGAAACAAUUGCCCUAACCCUGACUGAGCCCUGGUAUUGUAGUCUAUAAAAAGAAACAUGCUUUUUCUUUUCAUAGGAAAUAUUUAGUUAUUAUUCUGUUUUCUGGUAUCCUAAGAGCUAUCUGAAUUCUGAACUGGCUGAACUGUGUAAUUGGAGGUUUUUAAAAGAGGCAUUUAUUUUUUUCCUCAAAAGAAAUGGUUAUUAAGCAGCUCAUUCACUGUUUUCUAUGUUCACCCCAAAUCUAUGCUUUAACUUUCCUUGCUCUAUGUUCUGAGACACUGACCUCCAUGACUGUAUCACCCAGCUUCUCUUACCCUCUGGGUUCCAAUGGGUUUGGCUAAUGGCCUGGGAGAUUAAGGAAGGCAAGAGGAGUGAAGUGUUGUGACAUUUGUUUAUUUUCUGCAUUCCCUGCUAGAUUUGGCUGUGUCUGCAUUUCUCUACCCGUAGCCCCUUGUCACAGUCAUAACUAUUGUUGGGUUCUGAUACCAGCUCCCUUUCCUGUCCCUUUAGAUGGUAAUAGCUUCUUGUUAUUGCUAGUCCAUAAGUGCUCCACCAUUUAUUGUUAUUAAUCCUGCCUAAACCUCUCUAUAAGCUUUGUUCAACUAAACCCAUGGGAUGAGAUGCCCAUCAACUGCCACACUGAUAUAAUGGAUGUGGUCAUGUGAUUUGCUUUAUCUAAUGAAGCUUGGGCAAAUAUGACACAAGUCAAGGCUUGCUAAGUGCUUGUUCAUUAGAGCUUGCCACCUUGGUAUGCUGCUAUCACCAUAAAGACACCUUGAUUAUUCUUCUGGAAGACCAUGUGGAGGAGGACAGAAGUAUACCACUGACAGCUGCAGCCAACCACCACACAAGUGAGUGAGACCCUCUUGGAUCAUCCUCUUGCAUCUUAGUUGCAGGAAGCAGGACGAGUAAGCCCAAGAGAGGCUUGUGGAAGAGACUUCUGGCCAACAUAUAGACUCAUGAGUAAAACAAUGGUUGUUAUUUCAAGAUUCACUCAGUGUUGGGGUGAUUAGUUAUUCAAUAAUAGGUAACGGCUGAAGUGUGGAAUGCAUGAAGCUCACCUGCGGAUGAAGCCACCACUGAUGGCCAUUUGCUCCCGUUCAUCCACCACACGAGCAGGCUGGCUGGCCACCACUCCAUCCUGAUUAUUGCCCCAGGCUUUUUUGUAAGCAUCACUUGAUUUAAGCCUAUGCAAAAAAGAGGGUGAGUGACAAGGCAUAGGGUGGAGCAAGCUCAUGGCAAUCAUCACCUCUUCAAGCGAAGAACCGAACCAAGCAAAUGAGUUUUAAGUUGAGGCAUUAGAGAAUACCGAUAUAUCAUAAUCUGGACCCAAACAGUUGGCCACCACCAUGCCUCCACUACUCAUCAUUCAUUUUCAAUUGAGUCGAUUGCAAUGGUCAAGACUGCAAUCUUUGGUUUGUUUUGUGGUUUAAUUGGAUUUAAGAUAAAGAUUGAGGUAGCUGGAGAACAUUCAGUUUUAUUUCAGUGACAUGGUUAUAUUUUGAGACACAAAACACAGAAAGAACAUACUGGCAGACAUACACAAAACAAGACUGCCAAGUAGGGUGUGUACAUCACACCACAGCAACACAGUGUCAUCAAGAAAAACAUACUUGACCAAGUUUUUACACCAUCAUGCAAAGAUCCCUGUUAAUAUGUUUUCCCUAACACAUAUGUGGAACUAACAUUUCCAGUGCUUCAUGAAGGACAUAAAGGAUUGGUGGUUGGCCAAGGGUGAUGGUCUUUGAGGAGUUUCUAGAGAGAUUUGAAUUAGAUAAUAUAUCGGUACUUCCAAACAGUCACCAUACAUCCAGAGUUGAUGUACAAACCUUUGUCCACAGAGACAAAAAGUAAAAGAAGCAUAGUGAAAUGAAUGCAGGAAAAUAGAAGAGAGAACAAGCCACCUAGCACCAAAAAGGGAAACCCAUCUUAUCUCUUCUUCAUGCACCAGCUACAGGCAUGAGUGGAAAGUGAAGCAUUCUCAUUUAAGCCAAACUACUCCCGAAGUUGACCAUUCCCGAAAAAGGCACUAGCAGGACAGUAAUAGCCUUCGUGAGGAUUUGAAACGCAGUUCAGUAGCUUCUUUGAUGGGCUGAAGGGCAGGGCGGAGAAUGCUUACAAACUCCUACUUCCAACUAUCCUGGGGUUGUGACGGAGGGAGAGUGGUUUGGAAUCAGUGUGGUCUCCAUGGGCUGUAUUUCACUGAGCUGCCUUGGAGAAAAACUUAAAAUCCAGGCAUACCUAUUGUGCCCAAUAGAAACAUGUGCAGCACAUUUUGGUGGGUGUGUUGUAAUUUAAGGCGAUCAAAGAUGUUUUUAGGUUCUUUGCAUAGUAGAAACCAUAUGUUUUUAGUCCAGAAACAAAAGACAUCCUUUGGUCCCAUUUUCAUAAUUUUUUUUUAAAGUUACAAAACAGCAGAAUUUAACUUUUUUUUCUUCCCCUUUUACUAGAGGACCAGAGCCAGCUAUUAAAACUAGCUCUAAUCCUUGCAGAUUGCAGACCAAGCAACCCUGGUGACAAUUGGGAAAAUGCACCAGUGGAAUUUCAGCAACUCCCCGCAAUUUAGUGUAUAAUAUUGUGGCCCUUUGAGUAGUCAGUCAGACAUUAGCGCACCAAGGGACCAUGGGCUCACUCAAGGGGACAAGAUCCCCAAAGUAAGUUUUGUAGAGUUUAGAGUCUGGCUUUAUCCCCACAUCUCCCCAUCUCCUCCUUCCUUGGAAUAAAGGAAGUUUUAUGGACUUUCUGAUGUUUUCUGCUAUGUAAAAUAUCUGGUACACCAUCUUUGGCAAAGUCAAAGGAGGGGGAAAUAUGCGUUUCCAGAAGAAGGCAAACCACUGCACCCACAACUCUGCACAUAGACUCACAUCACUGCCGUACAUCUACCAUAGUCCUUCGAAACAUGCUGAGACAGGGCAAAGCCCUCAAAUAGUCCAGGGCACCACCAGCCACUGCAUUGUGACACAUGGUUUUUAAAGCAUUAUUUACACGCAAUAGGGAACACUUCGGUCAAGCUUUGAAGCUCAGUUAGGGUCUCUUGUGCAUUAAGGAAUUAGCGACCACUUUUAUGUGGAAUCGUAGGGGUGGUGUUUCAUUGGAACCUUAGAAUCCAUCCCAGGGAGACCUGACUCCACCCUUUCUUCACACAUAGUUGAUGAAGGGCGAAAAUGAAUCUGUUGGAAUUCACCACGAAACGGAAGGAAAUCUCUCGUGGGGGCCAGUUGCCACUGGAAAGGAUAUACAAUCAAAUCUUGACUAACUGGAAUGCUUGCUAGUGAGUCAUUUUGGUAAAUUUUACGACUUUCUUAAUGAACAAUGGACUGAAGAAGAAAUUUUGUUUCAAGGGCAAUUUUGUUAGACCCCUGAGACAAUUUUCUGCCUGGGCAUCUUUGAGUAGUGGUCAUAAUCAAAUUUUUCCAAUGUUACUGUUGUGUUUGAUGGCCUUUCAUUUCAUAUUCUUCCUUUUUUUUUUUUAAAUAUGAAGACUAUAAGAGAAUGGAGACUUGAGACAUUGCAAAUUACAUAGAUUGUCUCAGGGUAUUUUUAAUUUGGGAUAUUAUUAUUAUUAUUAUUUUGCUAAAAAUAAAAGGGAAGAGGAAGUAUAUAGUUGAGAAUUCCAGUUAGUUAGAUUCCAGUUAAUCAGACUUCACUGUAGAUGAUUCUUUCAAAAACAUGCUUUUUAUUUAUUGGUAAAUUGAGCCCCUCCCCCUCCUAAACAGGAAGUGGGAUAUUUUAAAUCAGCCUCAAAGUUUAAAGGAUGUGAAUAGUCAUAUAAUCUGCUAGAAACGACAUCAAUUUCUAUUCUAAAAGCUAGGGCUAGGAGAGCUUUUAGGAGAAAAAGCUUCUUUUAAAAGGAAAAGAGGGAGGGGGUGAGGGAGAUCAGGUAAUGAGUUUAAUUUUCCAAAUGCAUGUUGGACAAUCCACUCAUGCAUUUUUUGCUUUCACUGCUAGUCAAAUGAGACUAUCUUCCAGAACCCUGGUUUCAGGUUCUUUCUGUUGCAAACCUUAUAACCACAUGUCACAUUUCUGCUACAUUCCAAAAAAGCGUUGCAGAACCUUAAGAACAGUUGAAAAUUUUGUGAUAUUGUGCAUGCAAAAUCUACACAUUUCAACAUUUCAGCCAGUGUACGGGUUGCUCUUCCAAGGGGAAGAAUUUGAGAGGGAUGGUCCCAAUCUGGGCAAGGAUUGGGCACUUCACGCUGGACUGCUCACUGCCUCUACACAAGGUGGAUCUCAGGACCAAAUUUGGUAACAGGCGGGCAAUGGAAAGGGAAAAAUCUCUGACAUAAUCUAACUUGCAGAGUGCUUCCUUGGGCCAAAUUACUUGCCUCUAUUACUUUUGAAAAAUCAAACAUGUGUUUCUUAUCUUCCAAACUUACCCAUUCUCUAUUCUAAAUCCGCAAUUUUGGUUCUUGGGGUUGGAGAAAACAAAGGUCAUGGGGUGCCUGCGUCUCAAAGUACACUUUCUGGAAAAUGUUGAAACGUUCAUCAAUAAAAGUUGCUGACAGUGAAGCUUUCACUGUAGUAUGCCUGAUUUUUAAUGCAUCAACAGUAACUCCCACUAAUAUCAUCUAUGCUAUGAGAUGAAUGCAUUGGAGACGGUAUUGAUCUGUUCUGCAUGCCACAUGCUCAUCCUGCCUAUGCGCCUGCAGGAAUGAGCUUGUCAAGGCUUGGAGAUGGGGCCUUGGAAAACCAAAGCUUCAGGCAGGCAGGCAGCACCUACUUGUUACAGGGACACACACAAAGCCCGCAGAAUUUUCCUAGGUCCGUCAAAUUCUUUUCUGCUUCUUUCAUGUCCUUAUUGAUUUGGUCCAUCCCUUCCUCAAUGCGUUCCAGUUGUUCUGAUUAAACACAAGUAUUUUAUCCCCACAGAAUGAAGCAGAUGGAAAAGGACAAAGAAAAAAAAGACAAAACUUCAGACAUUCACUUUGACAUUAAAAAAGAAAAAAAAAAAGAAAGAAAAAGAAAGAAAGAAAACUGGACGCCACAGAUUAGAGCUGGUACCCAGUACCUACUUGUUACAAGGACAUAUGAAAAGGCCACAGCAUUUCCCUAAAUCUUUUAAAUUUUUCUCAGCCUCCUUCAUGUCUUGGUUGAUAUGGUUCAUGCCUUCUUCGACACGAUCGAGUUGUUCUGGUUAGGACAAAGGGAUGACAGUGUGGAAUGAAUUUUUCUUGGGUUUCCAACAGAAUAUGAGAAAUGACUACGUGAAAAAGGAAUUUGAAAGAGAGAGAUUACAAUGCAUUGUCCAAGAGGGUGCAUUGCAGAGGGCUGCCGCUGCCCUAAGCGGGCAGACAGGAGGAAAUGAACAAAAAUGAUGCUCAAACUAGUUUGUAGUUCAGACAUGAUGGGAUGGGUCAGAAGGCCUGUUUGAUUCUGAGUGUCCAGGGGGAAAGCACAAUAUAUUCACUUACUCACACACCAGUGAAACUCCAAAGAAAGAAAAACAGGGUGUUAGUUUAUAUUUAAGCCAUUCUUAUUUAGUGCUACAAGAGGAAGUAUCUGCUUCAACUUAAAAUAUCUGUAUUGUUUUGUUUUUAAAUAUCCUUAACCAGAUAAAGGUAGAAAAUAGAAUCCAUGUUUCCCUUCUUCAGGAAAAACAGCAGCAGCAAUAGCAAUAAUUAGCAAUGGAUAUGGAUCUUUUUUCUUCCUCUAAGCAGUGACUGUGUAGCCAAAAGUAGCCUAUGGUCUGUUCUUGGUUUCCCCAUAUUUAAUUCAUAGAAGCUGUAAAAGAAAGUAAUAUCAACACAGCAAUAUUAUCAAUAUUGGGGUAUUUCAAUUUGUCUUUCAUCCUAUGAGUCACUUGCCAAGAAAGCUUUGAAACUCAUUUCAUUUCUCUGGCUCCUGACUUUCCAGUGUCUAUACUGGGGGCCCCCCAAAAUCAACCCCAGGUAGACAGCAGGGAGAAUAAAUAUCUCCUUGAAGAAGGGAGUCAGAUUGGAACGUAGAUGAUUACUGUACCAUUGCUGCAAGCAAAGCUGACCUUAGUGUAUCUAAGACAUAGAUUGAUAGACAUAAAAAUGAAUCAUAUUUCUAGGUUGCCAGGGUUACAUACAUCAAGUUGAUUAAUUUUUCAAAAGUUGUGUCACCAAAUUGAGGUAACUACAAGUUCAAUGAAGGGAUUUUUAAAAUAGCUUUUAAAGCCAUUAAAAGAGAGCAGCAAAUGAGAUGUCUUGGUUGUCUAAUUACAAAACCUAAUUACAUUCCCAUUCUUCUUUUCAUCUAUAUUUUCAUGCAUGCAUGCAUUUGGAUGCCUCCAGGAAUACAGGCAUGCUUAGAAUAAAACUGAUAAGUACAUUUCCAGCCUAAGGGCAUGAAUAAUCAUGUAAAAACAAUUUCACAUUAAAUUGUACAGUGGCAAUUGUCAUUUCAAAACCUAACUUGGAUUCACUAGUGACCCAAACUAUGAAUUUGUAAAAAGCUUACUGUGUUCUGUUUUGUGGGGCUGAAGAACAAAAUUCUGUUGAUUAGGACUACUAACUCUGCUUUGCUUUUCAAAAGGACUGGCGAAAACAAAAUCUUAGCAUUUAUCUAGCACUGGAUAUCUGGAGGAAAUAAGACUACAGUGCUGAAGAGCUGGAAAACUUUUUGCUGAUAUCUUCAUAUACUUUAUACUCUUGAUAUUCUAGGAGAUUUUUUUCUUUUCUGAAGAUUGCACUCCAGUUUCUUUCUAAGAAUGCAAUAGAGCUGGGCACAGUGGCACAUGCCUGUAAUCCCAGCAACUCGGGAGGCUGAAACAGGAGGAUCGCAAGUUGGAGACAGGCCUCAGCAACAUAUUGAGACCCUAUACAACUUAGCAAGACCCUGCCUCAAAAUAAAAACAAGUGAAAAGGGUUCGAGAUGUGGUUCAAUGACUAAACACCCCUGGGUUCAAUCCCUCAUCCCUCCAAAAAACAAAACAACAACAAAAACAUCCCAAUAGAUUAGAUUGGGUCAAGUUAAAUAUUUGAUUGAGGGGACUGGUGGUGGUGGGGGAAGGUUCAAUGUGAAAGAGCUCAAUGUCAUCAGAUGAGGAUCAUCAUACCUAUUGAUAGAAAUAGGGAUGCUGAAUUACAAUCUAAUAAUUGCUAAUGGUUUCCAGGUGUGCUGGGGUGUGAUCGAUGGCAGACUGAGGGAAAGCAUGCUAGACUCAACCAGUGACAGCUGAAAUCAGUGUAGGUUAUGGCAGAGGGAUGUACAUUUAGGGGUUUGUCCUUCUUGAGGAGUUUCUCUUGAGUGAGAAAGCCAACUAACUUGUUUAUUUGGCCAAAUAUCAACUCUCCCACAAGAUUUCCAAAAUGCCAUCUGCUGUGCCUGCAGAAAUUAGGAAAUAGCAUCUAGAUAUGUGAAUUGGUCCAUAAAUGUUGAACUGAACUUGUACAAAUGAAUGAGCAAAUCAAAAUCCAUAUUUCAGAGAGUUGGGUUCUGCUAUAAAUUGCCAGGUUUGACUACAAAAAGAAAGGUUUGCAAAGGUUUGACUACAAAAAAGGAAAUUCUGACAAAAUUUUUCAGAAUUUAAUUGAGAAAACUGUUCAGAAAAGGGUUGAUUCAGAAAAAUAUUUUAUACCUGCCCAUAUUAGUUAAAUGCAUCUUUACAUACAAAUUAUAAGUCAAACCUUUAAUUUAAAAAAUAGCAUAAACUGUUUGUCACAGGUAUUCUAAUAAUAAUAUUAAUUUUUAGAGUCCAAUGAGUUGUAUUUCUGGGUACAUUUGAUAUAUUGGGGCUUCAUAGCACUUGGAUGAUUUCUGUGAAGACAUUUCUCAGGGAGUGGAGAUGAAAACAACCAAUGCCAUUAUGUCAUUCUGGGGUGACAACAGCCUCUCUGAUAAUAGAUAUAAUGAACCAUCCAGGGUUGAUUUCAUCUUAGCUCUCUAAGCUUGCUUUCUGUCAAUUUUAUGUUGAUUCUUAGAGACUGGGAGAACAACCUUUUAGGUUAAAAGAGGGCUUUCAAGACACAACAUUCUAUGUUGGCAUAAAAGCUUGAACUUUCUUUUGCUUCGAUAUUUGAAUGGUGAUUUGUGAUAGAUCCACCAAUGGUAGGAUACUCUGGGUUCUAAGUUUACACAUCCUUUCUACUGAGCUCAUCUUAGUAAAACAACACAGGGCUCUUAGGAUUCUCAUUCUGUUUUUUAACACAAAACAAGACACAAUAAAAUAGCAAGACAUUGAUGCUUUGCUAGUGUGCAAGCCUUCAUGAAUACGUCCAAUUUCAAGAUGCUGCCUAUGUGCUUUUCAUUUUUGUUCACAUUGAUUAAAACAGAAAAAUUCAUGUAAAUAAAGUUAAAGAGCCACAUGCAAUGAAAGGCUACUAUAUUGGCUAGCGCAGCCUUAGUCAUUCCUAACUGAUACUUGGUGAGUAAACAUCAGCAAGAAGGAUAUUUUUUCUCAAAUUCUGCUUUGUAGUGCCAUGAACCUUUUAAGAUUGUUGGCUGUGUCUCUGGAUGGGGUUCUACUUUUUCUUCCCUCUGCCAGGAAGUGGUGGUCAGAAAUUUCAUUAUUAGUUUGGAGUUCAUCCCAGGAUUGUUCUCAAAGAACUAUAAUAGCUAUCAGAACAAACAUAUAAUCCAGCAAAAACCAACAAUAGAAACAGAGGUGAAAGGUUAGAUCAUCUUAUGUUAGUGCCAUGGUUGUUUUAGGGGGUUUCCCUUGGACACAAGUUUUGUAGGGAAAGAAUAGUUCCAGGGCUUGGUAUAUUUCUUGUGAUGUCUGUCAUGCUCAGUGCUCCUUGGUGUGUCCUGAUACCUGGGUAAAAAACAAAAACCCUAUAAGUAAUUUAACUGUUCAGCUAGAUAACCUGCAAUGGUCUGGCCUGACCUGACAGUGGGUGUAUAAUGUUUCUUUAGAAGGAUGACUGUUUCUUGAGGCUCCUGAGCAGCUGCAAGGUAGAAAAAGUCAACAUUUUUGGUGUUCAGGCAUGGACAGAAUUAGUAGAGCAUAACUGAAGAGAAAUUGCAAAGCAGUUACUGAUUUAAAACAACUAAACAUAGCACAUGCAGAAUUAAAAUGCAUUUAUGACCGUAGUGAACACAGUUGUGCUUAGUUGUCAUAUUAAAAGGCCCUAAGUUCCUAUGAUAGUAUAAAUGGAAUGUGUCCCACUUAACACUAGGCACAGAUCAUCCAUUUUUGGUGGUCUUACAGUUGCAGGUUUCUCAUCAGAAUCGGUUUAUUCACUACACAUCUGGCAAAACUCAGGCUUAUCCUAGGAAAUACAGUGAACAGAAGAAUUCGGCAUUUACUCAGGAAUGGUCACAAAUGAAAUGUUUUAGCUGAGAACACUCACUAUCUCAUGAAGAAACCUGUCAAACAAAUAUUCUAUUCUGCUUCGCUUCUCAGAUAAAGUAUGCAAAUGCAUCUGGGAAUCAUCUGUGCUUAAUACUCCAAGUUCAUUUAUAGUAUUUUCCGCAUCUUUAUGUUAGUGUAUAUAGUUAAGGGGAAAAGGCAUUAUCCUGAAUCUUUUGCCAACUUUCCCUCUGCUGUAAGUCUCCUUUUUCCAUCCCUUCACAUUCUGAAUUACUAAUUGAAAGAGCCAACAAGGUGGAAUUGCUAAUUAUUCAAGUGUAUUUGUUUCAAUUUUGCUUUGGAAAUAAGGUACCACUCUUCUAUAUGGGCACCUGCUGUUUAAAUUUUCCUUUAUUAAAAAAUCAACGAUUUACUGCCUUCUGAGUUUCAAAGCUGGGACACUGUUGCACAGAUCAAGCCAACAAGUCUUAUAAUUAUAGAAAAUCUAUCUGGGGAGCUCUGUAGACUGGCACUGUUAUUGUAGUGCCUUCAAAAUAGAACUCCACUAGACCCUGUUAUUGGCAUAUGCAUUUGGACAAUUUAUAUUUUUAAAAUUGGACGGAAAGCAUUGGGGUUGAUGUUCAAUUGGUUUUACAGAAGUAUUUCUCUUGUAAUUGUUUGAUAUAUAUAUUUUUGAAAAGGUUUAAUGCAAAAUAAUGUAACAACAAAAGUGAUUUUAUGACAGCCAUGGGGAUGUGCCCUCAAGGCUCCUUUUAGAAGACUCUCCUGUGAGAAGUAGAGUUAGCUGUGCACUUGGGAACUGCUACAGCAUUUAUGUUGAGGUCAUGUGCUCCCUGGGAUGCUUCAAGCCAGUGACUGAGUACAAUUGGGACUACCAGAUCUGAAACAUAUAUGACCAAAAAUAGGGCUGUUCCAAUGGGUGAUUUCUGUUCGUGGACUUCCCAUCAGCCUGGCUGAGACUUUUUCCAAGCAGUAUUACAAUUUGAGGCUCUCCCUACCCAAUUCUCCUUCCUUCUGCUGAUAUAGGUAUUGGAUCCAUAAAAUCCUUAAAAGUCUAAACGUUCCACUUACCUAUCUCUGCUCCCUUUCCCUUUGACCCAUCACAGACAUGUCCCCCCCAAAUCUCUUAUACUUUGUAUUGUUCCUUAGCAUUUGCUUCUUAGAGGACUCUAAAUAACUUAUCUUCCUGUCUCCACCCCAACUUCCCAGAUGUCAGUAAAGAUUUACUUUAUUUAUGGUAUUGAUUGCACAACAUUUAUUUCAUGGCCAUACCAUAAUUAGUUUAGUUCAUCUCCCUGCUUUCAGAUAGGUUGUUUCUAGCCUUACAUGCCUACAAGUAAGCCAUGUACAUUUUUCUUUGAGUAACUGUAAAUGCGUGUCUCCACUGUCAAAUUCUAGAAGUAGAAUGUCUUGAUCAAAAUCAAGACAUUUUAAAUUUUAAGGUAUCAUAAAUUACUCUUCAAGAAAUUUAUAACCUUCUACAGCAUCCAUCUAUAGAAUAAGCGUUUUUGUUUUCCCAGCAUAUUCAUCACAUUGGUUAACAUCAAUUUUCAAAAUUUAAGUCAGUCUACUAGAUAAAGGAUAGUAUCUCACUACCAUUGACGGUUGAGACCCAGUUUCGUAUGUCUAUUUGUAAACUGAUGAUUCCUAUCUUAUGUCUAUUUUUUUUUUCUUUUGAUUGCUCUUUUCUUUAAAGUUCUGUAAGGGCUUUCUAUAUUUUGGGAAAACAUUUUUAGGCCUGAUACCUAUAGGGCAAUUGUCCAAAUUUGAAAUUUAUGCUUGGAGUUUAUUGGGACCUCUGCUGUGAAUAAGUUUUAAUAUUGAUAUUUGCCACCAAACAAGACCACAAAUAUUAUGGCCUUACCAUUUUAGGUGCCACUAUAGAAUAUGGAGAUGCCAUACUAAAAUGCCAGCUUCCUGAUUUUCACUGCUUUUAGCAUUUCCAUCAUGAGUUUUAAAACAGGCCAAAAGUUCAAAGAGAAGAGCCUCUAAUCUCUGUUCUCCAAUAUGUGUACAAUAUGACUUCCAUGUACAUGUAAAAAUGAUUGCACCCUAACCAAAUUUCCUCAGAUAGUGUAUUGUUUGUUUAAAAUAAUCACAGUUUGGUUCAUUGUUGUUGUAUUCUUUCCAUUUUAUUUACAACACUACUUUUUAUCCUUUUAGCAAAUUCUAAAGUGUAGUGAUCUUUAAAAAAAAUCACUAAAUAACUAGGAAAUAUUUGUGUUGUUGUUUUGUUUUAAACAGUACAAGGUGAUGGAACAUUUUGCUCCUCUUACCACAGACAUGAAAUGUCAGCCAUUGUAUGGCUAGGAACCAAUGCCUUUGGCUGUUAAUAGAUCUGCUAUUGCUGAGCAUAUUUUAGCCACUGCUUAUGAGACUAAAUUACAAAAAGCAGAUGGCAUAUAGAUGUGACAGUGGAGGUUCUGUUGAGGACAGAGGCAACUCAGAGAACAGUUUCUCCUUGAGGACACAAUCAAGGCUUGCCUGAGGACUCUGCUCCAUUCUACUGGUGACCAUUGGUGGGAAAAAGGUUUGCUUUGUACAAGAAAUACCACCUGAUCCUCAGCAUUAAAUGAUUCCCUGUGGUUGAAAACAAGGAAGACAUUUCCCAAGUCAGCAAGCUUCCUGGAAGGAGGUAGCAAAUUCUGUUUCACUUGCAAAGUCUGCUUUCAUGGAGGUACUGUAGAGACCACUUACUAAGAGAAACAACUGGCCCCAUGAAUUCCUACCCCACGACUGUGAGCAGGUGGGAUACACAAGACAAUGUGUGAAUAUGUUCACAUGUCAUGGUGAUUCCAGAAACUGGGAGGAACUUAACCUGUCCCAUUUACUCUCUCCCACCCAGUCUUUGCCUUGAUUGAGUUUUUUGCUCUUUUGAAUGAUACAUGCAAGAUGGUGGACAGAAUUAAGGGUGUGGCCAGAGCAGCAGGCACCACUUGAUGGUUCUUGAAGAAAUCAAACUCUGAACUGCCUUCCUGCACCAGUGAGUCUAUAUGAGACCAUCCAGAUUUUUGGAAAUCUGGCAGGUGGGAGGCCACAAUCAUUAUACUCACCCAUAGGCAGCUUAGACCUUGUAAUCUGGCAAACUCCAAAAGGCAAAGUUUCAGGUUUUAGCUUAUGGGAUAUCCUGAUGCCUUGGGGAGAAAGGAUCUUCUGUGUUAUUUAAAAUGCCCUUAGCUAUCAAAUACCUGGGCUCAAUCUUUUUAUUUCACAUGAAGAAACAGCUGAAACCUCAGACAUCCUUCCUAUGGUGGCUGAGCUGAAGAUAGAAGCUAGGGAAACUUGCCCUGAAGUCAGUGAGGCUCAGAGCAGCUAUUUCUGUUUUGGAAGAAGUU